UACGUAGGGGGCAAGCGUUGUCCGGAAUCAUUGGGCGUAAAGAGCGCGUAGGCGGUCCGGUAAGUCCGCUCUGAAAGUCCGGGGCUCAACCCCGGGAGGCGGGCGGAUACUGUCGGGCUAGAGUCCGGAAGAGGCGAGUGGAAUUCCUGGUGUACCGGUGAAAUGCGCAGAUAUCAGGAGGAACACCCAUGGCGAAGGCAGCUCGCUGGGACGGUACUGACGCUGAGGCGCGAAAGCGUGGGGAGCAAACAGG
rnacentral:rRNA from 1 species